GCAAGACUCGCAGAGAGGACAGCUAAUGAAACAUAGAAUUUUUUAAAAUUCAUGAUGUCGUAAGGGAAAAUAAUGAUAAUACCUUACUAUGAGUGUCGUCCAAAUCUGGUGCCAGAAGACUCGGUAAGACCAGAGACGCAAACGUUAAUCAUCAUAAACAGGCGUAAAGGGUUUGUAGGCAGCUUUCACCAAACUAUGAUUACAAAAUAAAGUAGUUUAAUUGAAAGCUAGAAUCAAAAAGAGGUUAUAGUGUAUAACGCCUAGAGGAGGGCUGAUAUCCAUAGAUCCUAGGCAGAAUACUCAGGGCGAAGGCCACUCUCCACUACUGAUUGACGCUGAGAAACGAAGGUUAGGGUAGGAAAUAGGAUUAGAUACCCCGGUACUCCUUUCUGUAAACGAUGAAUGGUAGUCAUUAGUUUUAUAACUAGAGACGAAGUUAACACAAUAACCAUUCCGCCUUGUGAGUACUACUGCAAAGUAGAAAACAAAAAAAUUAGUCGGUCUCGAAGCAAACGGAGUGAAGCAUGUUAUUUAAUUCGUAA
rnacentral:rRNA from 1 species